UUCCGCUUGUUCAAAAAUUUG
rnacentral:piRNA from 1 species